CGAAAAGCUUUGACGAGGAGGAGUACAGUUCAUGCGUAGCUUUAGAGAGAAGGCGGUUGGUGAAAGCCUUUGCGACAGUGAUCUGGAAGUAGCCUUUGAGCUUUGGUUUGAAAGAUGCCUUACAUCAAGUAGACGCCAACGGAUUUCCACCGUUACAAGGAAGCUAUAUCGGCAUUUGCCCGUAUAGAUCAAGCGCAGAGUUUUCUCUGAAUUUAGGUGGUACCACGGACGCAAGCCCGCCCUAAGC
rnacentral:ncRNA from 1 species